rnacentral:rRNA from 1 species
UCUAAGUAUAACCUGCCAGACAGGGAAACUGCGUACGACUCAUUACACCAGCCUUAAUUUACUUGACCUUGACAACCUACUUGGAUAACUGUGGUAAUUCUAGAGCUAAUACAUGCACCAAAGCUCCGAUCCUCGCGGAGAGGAGCGCAUUUGUUCGCCACAAAACCAAGCGCCCAUCUGGGCGUCCAGUGCUGAACCAGAACAACUCAGCUGAUCGCACGGUCUUGUACCGGCGACGUGUCUUUCAAGUGUCUGCCUUAUCAACUUUCGAUGGUAGUGUACCUGACUACCAUGGUUGUGACGGGUAACGGAGGAUAAGGGUUCGACUCCGGAGAAGGGGCCUGAGAAAUGGCCACUACGUCUAAGGAUGGCAGCAGGCGCGCAAAUUACCCACUCUCAACGCGAGGAGGUAGUGACGAGAAAUAACGAGACCGUUCUCAUACGAGGCCGGUUAUUGGAAUGGGUACAAUUUAAA